UGUGUGUGUAUACCAGUGCCCGGGGAUUAUUCAUGAAGCUGUUCCCUUCUAGACCUGGAGUGCAAGAUCGCCCGGAUACAUCUGACGUCGGCAUUGUUGAGAGGAGGCAGCUCAAGGGUAACAAAAAGAAGCAAAAUAAAACCCCGCCGGGAACGUAAAUGAUGUCUGCUAAAUAAAGUGGCGCAGAGCAAAAGUUUCUCCACAACUGCAAUAAAAGAUGGAAGGACGGCGCCUCUUGCAGUGUCCCUAUGUUCUUAUGUUCUUAUGUGACCUCUCGUGGAGCUCCUCUGUACGUAG